rnacentral:rRNA from 1 species
AGAGGGUGCAAGCGUUAAUCGGAAUGACUGGGCGUAAAGGGCGCGUAGGCGGUACAGUAAGUUAGAUGUGAAAUAUCCGGGCUCAACCUGGAGGAGUCAUCUAAGACUGAUGUACUAGAGUUCACUAGAGGGUAGUGGAAUUUCCGGAGUAGCGGUGAAAUGCGUAGAUAUCGGAAGGAACACCAGUGGCGAAGGCGGCUAUCUGGAGUUGAACUGACGCUGAGGUGCGAAAGCGUGGGGGAGCAAACAGGAUUAGAUACCCUGGUAGUCCACGCUGUAAACGAUGAAUACUAGCUGUUGGAUAGCGACGACUAUUAGUGGCGUAGCUAACGUGAUAAGUAUUCCGCCUGGGGAUUACGGUCGCAAGACUA